GCGAGCGGGUGGAAGAGCACAGAGCGUGGUCUAGAGAGUCACAGAAGCGUUCGGGUGGGAAGGGGACUGCGAGACCAUCUCGUUCCUCUCCCUUACACCAGCCCAGGUUUCUCCAAGCCUGAUCAUGGACACUCCCAGGGAUGGGGUAGCCACAGCUUCCCUUGCCAGGGCCUCACAGGGAAGAAUUUCCUCCUAAUAUCCAAUAUGAACCUACUGUCAACCCUUUCUCCCUUGUCCUGUCCCGUGCCCUUGUAAACAGUGUUGCCACAUCUUUCCAGUAAGUUUUCUUCAGGCACUGGAAGGCUGCAAUUAAGUCAGGCUGAAGCUUCUCUUUUCCAGGCUGAACAAUCCCAAUUCUCCCAGCAGAGCUGCUCCAUCCCUCUGAUCAACUUGGUGCCUCCUCUGGACUCGCUCCAACAGCUCCUUCCUUCCCAGGGCCCAGAGCUGGAUGCAGUGUUCCAGCCCUAGGGAAAAGGGAGCUGGAGGCUCUGCUGCAGGAUUCCAGGAAGCCUGAAGCUGUGGAAGGAAGUGUGAGACUGAGCAGGGUGUGGGAUGCUGGGGAUGCCUAACUGUGAAAAACUGACAGGAGACAUCAUCACAUCACCCAGUGUACCCAGCACAGCAGUCCCAGCAGCCUGGGAAAGGAGUGAGAAGGGGGAAAGGGAGAUACCUGGACACAACAGGAAUACAGUCAUAAUACACCAGAAAUAAGGAACUUCAUCCCUUUGCCUUUUUAAUUAAAACCCAAAUCCAUUAAUUCAUGAACUUGUUACCAACACAAUGCACCAAUGCUGAGACUGUGGUACCACCCAAAAGCACAGGUUAAAAGUCUAAUUUGCCUACUUGGAAAUUUUCUUAUAUAUCAAAAUAAGCAUGAAAUAUACCCACAGGGAGAUCACACCACUUAAUGGUCUAGCAAGUCACUGAGCAGUAAGUCACUGGCAACUUGAGUCCUUAAAAACCAAACCAAACCCCCAAAAAUCCAACAAAAACCCCCCAAGCUCAACAAAACAAAACACAUCCCAAAUUCUGCCUUACAUCUUUGCCUUUCUUUGGUGCUUCCCCAUGAUGGUCACAGGUUAUCUGUGCAGUCUGACAGGGGGUCACCAGGGAUGUCGAGGCUAUCAAAUUGUGCUCAAGAUAUUUUUCCAUCUCCUUUCCUGUUUCAAGGGGAAAAAUUCUCUCUUCUCAUGCUAGAAGUCUCUCCCUCUCCAGACUCAGGUACUGCAGCUGGUUUAUCUUGACAGCUUCAGGGAAGAGACAGUAUAGGACAUCAGUGAUGAAAGUUUAGAAUUCAGGAUGUGGGUGUUGCUUGGGGAAAGUUAGGGAAUAAAUCCAAUAAUGCAGUUGUGGUAUUUGGUGGUAAAAAAAUUUGUUCCUGCAUUUUCAGGACAAGAGACUAACAACCCUUCUCACACCAAAACUCAACCAGCACAAGUUUGCUCACACUACCAGAGGUGUAUUUUAUCCUAUAGAAAUGUAUUUUGAGUAUUUUGCUGUAUUUACUGGGGGAUCUCUUUGGAUAAAGCAAUUUACUGUUGAUUUAUAAGGUGUUGGGAAUUAAUACCACUCCUGACUAGAGCACGAUUCCCAACAGUGCACUGAAACCUCAACCAAUUCCAGCUACACCCUGACUAAAGAAAAGAGAUUCCCAAGUACAGCACAAAGCAGCAGAGCUGCAGAACAGCACAUGCAAUAUCUGCUCCAACACUUCAUCAGCCAAGGAUCCUUUCAAGAUGAUCCUCUGCAGCAGAGGCUUUCCAUCACUUGCAAAGAUUUAAUUCCAUCACUUGCAAAGAUUUAAUUCUAUCAGCAAAACCCUCUCCAACAAAACUAGUUUCUCCAGUUCUCAGAAGUUAACAGGUGUUCUCCUGGCACAAGGUAUUUUUCCUUAAAUGUAAAAUCUGAUUUCCUAGACAUUAUAAUGAGAUCUUUAAUUAAUCCUUAAUGAUGCCUUAACUCAUUACCAAAUCCCAGGGCAAACAUAGGCCUCAUCCAAGCUCAAAAUCAAUGUAAAAACCUGAAGUUACAGUCUCAAACCAACACAAUUCCUCUUUAGAAAUACAGGAAGAUGCAGUAGUUACAAACAGUCCAUUUAUUGGGUCUUAAACUACGUACACAAUUGAAAUCAUAAUUUUGGCACUACGCUAUACAGUGGUUACAUCCGUGUGCUGACACUCCUUAAAUACUGCCCCAGGAGCACUGCUGUGCUUGGAAAUUUGGGAUGAGCCACACAAAGGUCUCAGUGCUCCUGGGGGAUUUUGCAUGAAAGAUGAAACACACACCAGUUGAUGAGUUAUUUCCAUGUACCUCACGUGCUGUGAAUGGAUCACACCAGAAUAUGUGAUGUCAGCAUUGAGAAAUGGCCACACGUGUUGCAGUAAAAUCUGAAUGAGACACAGACAUGAGAUACAGGAGAAGCAAAACAAACCCUCUCAGACACAAAGAGAUAUUCUGUUAAAGAAAAUAAUUUAAAAAACUAAGAAUGGCAUUUGUUUUGAUACAAAAGCCAGAACCACUACUGUAUUAACAUCUAAGUAUGAAUCUUUACAAAUUAAUCUCACAAUGGUGUUAUGUAAAAGGUUGCAAACUGUACAAUGUUUUGUCAAUGCAAUGCCUCUACAAUUUAUACAGUCUUUUACAACUAUGUAACACAUAUUAAACAGCUUGUUAAACAGCCAAUUGAUACCAGUCUCUUAACAAAGCUGCAGGCAAAAAAACACAGAGCUUCCACAAUCUUCAAACAAGAUAUGCUUGCUCCAUCUUUAGGAGAAUACACUGUUAAAAACUGCCUUUCCACACUGUGCAUACAUUUCAUUCCGUGAAUUCAACCACCACUAACAGUCCAUUUCCUAUCUGUGGGUUCUAAUUACAUGGAAACACCCAUUUCCCCCUUAAAAAUAUGCAGAGAAUCAUAGAUUUUUUUUUUAUUCCACACGUGGUCAAGACACCCCUGAAGGCCUGGCCAGGCAGCAGGAGCUGCCCAUGCUGCAUCCUGCCACCCUGCACUGCACAGAGCUCAGCUAUUUACAUUUGCACAAGGGAGAGAAUACAAAAAGGCAAUGCUGCCCUGAGGUGGACUGGAUGGUAUUCAAAUCCCAGUAGUGAAAAAUAAAACUCUGAGGAGGGAAAGCUUCAGGGUUGUGUAUGGACUGGGGGAGGAGUUGCAUCGGCAGAAUUGGAGAGCUCCACUGGGAAAAUUCCGGUUUGCAGCCGGAACCCUCUGGUUCUGCACAUCCUUAAUGUCAGGAACAGGGGGCAGAAGAAGGGGGUGAGGGAUGUGCAGUGUAGGUCACUGUGUGCAAGGAAGCAGGAACAAGACUGAUGUGGGAUUCAGGCCAAGGAGAAGGGUCUUGCCAUGGACUCACGAUGAGGCCCUGCAGGCGCAGCCUCGGGGCUCCCCCGGCUGCUCCCUGGGGAGGUGAAAUUCCUUUUGAGCAGAACCAGGUCUCUACGUUUGUAUUUAACAGUAGUUUUGAUUAGGCAUCAGGAUUUCCAGCACAAAGUUCUCUACAUGAUCAAUUUCUUUUGAGUUUCCUUUAUUUCGCAGAAAAAUUCCUACAUCCUCACUUUCCCCAGAAGAAGCCUGAAAAGAAAAAAGAAGGAGUUCAAAACACAAAUAUUGCCUCAUGCUCUUGUUCAUAUGAAAAGAUAAAUUAAAGCUUCUCUUGGAAUACUGUCACAAAACAUCACAAUACAAUAGAGAUGGGAAUCUUGGAGUGUAACAAAGAGAAACCCCAGGAAUGGAUUCACUCUUUGGGGACAUGCCUGUGUGAAGAGCCCUGGCAGCAAAGCCAGAGUGUGGAAGAGGAAACUGAGUGGUAGCAGCCAUUCCCCAUCCUGAGAUGUAGGUGAUAGCCUGGACUGGGUGGUGUAAAGUCCUCAGAGGCAUCAGAAGUACAAAGCAGCACUUUAGGGGCACUGCCAGGCAUUUAAAAGGCAGCCAACUGCCAGAAAACGGAGAAAAGGAACAUCAGUAUUCAA